UAAGAAGGUCCAGCCUGCCCAGUGACUCUGUUCAACGGCCGCGGUAUCCUAACCGUGCGAAGGUAGCGUAAUCACUUGUUCUUUAAAUAGGGACUAGUAUGAAUGGCAUCACGAAGGUUACACUGUCUCCUUUUUCUAAUCAGUGAAACUAAUCUUCCCGUGAAGAAGCGGGAAUAAUUAUAUAAGACGAGAAGACCCUAUGGAGCUUUAAACAAAAUAACAACUGCUAACUAAAUCUUAAUUUCAGAAAACCAAUCUUUACCCAAGCAUUGUGAUUACUAGUUUUAGGUUGGGGUGACCGCGGAGCAAAAAACAACCUCCAUAUUGAAAGAAUCAUAAUUCUAAGCAAAAAGCUACAACUUUAAGCAUCAACAAAUUGACAUCUAUUGACCCAAUAUUGUGAUCAACGAACCAAGUUACCCUAGGGAUAACAGCGCUAUCCACUUUAAGAGCCCUUAUCGACAAGUGGGCUUACGACCUCGAUGUUGGAUCAGGGUACCCCAGUGGUGCAGCCGCUACUAAAGGUUCGUUUGUUCAACGAUUAAAACCC
rnacentral:rRNA from 1 species